rnacentral:rRNA from 1 species
UGGGGAAUAUUGGACAAUGGGCGCAAGCCUGAUCCAGCCAUGCCGCGUGAGUGAUGAAGGCCCUAGGGUUGUAAAGCUCUUUUGUGCGGGAAGAUAAUGACUGUACCGCAAGAAUAAGCCCCGGCUAACUUCGUGCCAGCAGCCGCGGUAAUGCGAAGGGGGCUAGCGUUGCUCGGAAUCACUGAGCGUAAAGGGUGCGUAGGCGGGUCUUUAAGUCAGGGGUGAAAUCCUGGAGCUCAACUCCAGAACUGCCUUUGAUACUGAAGAUCUUGAGUUCGGGAGAGGUGAGUGGAACUGCGAGUGUAGAGGUGAAAUUCGUAGAUAUUCGCAAGAACACCAGUGGCGAAGGCGGCUCACUGGCCCGAUACUGACGCUGAGGCACGAAAGCGUGGGGAGCAAACA